AAAAUCAAAUACUUGUAUUCGUGCUUUUUCUUCAUACUUCUCCCCCAUCUUCCUCUUUUAUUUCUUCUGGGGAAAAAUCCCAAAAUCAAAACCCUACCUUUAAAUUUUCUCUUAUUACAACUCAUCCAUCCAAAUGAACUCAUCAUCUUCUUCAUCUCAAGUCCUAAUUCAUUUCUUAAAAUUACAAUCCUAAAACUAUCAGAGAAAGAUAAGUGAUUGGGUAGUUCCGCCGUUGCCGCAGAGGAUAGAACAAGAAAAUGACAGGAGCGGAUUUUUCUUUUACUUUUCCCUUAUAUUUUUUUUCCUAGAAAUGUUGCUCAAAUUCGGGGUUAUGGAGGUGUCUCCUUUUGAACUCCCCUGCCCUUCUAUUUUUUUUCCUAGAAAUGUUGCUCAAAUCUGGGGUUAUGGAGGUGUCUCCUUUUGAACUCCCCUGUUCUUUCUCUCCUUUGGAUUUGCCUAUCUUUUGGUUUGGGGUCGAGCUCCCAACGGAUUUGUUUGUGGCUGAUGCCCACGUGGCUUGAUUUUAGGGACCUUGUUCUUUGGGUAUCCAGUGUGCAUCUUCUAUUUGGAUGGAUGCUUUCAUGUGGAUGAUUUUAAUCUAGGCUUUUGUUCUGAUGGUUACCUAACUAUCUGUCGAUUUUGUAGAGAUUCGUUGAUUUUAAGGAGCUGUUUAUAUGGCCUUUAAAUCGCAUCUGUUAGCUAAAUUUGGGCUGGGUUCCCUCUUUUUGGAUUAUGCUUUUUGUUGUUGUUAAUGGUGUUUCCGAUUUGUCUUUUGACAUGUUUUCG
rnacentral:lncRNA from 1 species